UGACAGAGCCUGCUUCAUGGUUUAGAUGG
rnacentral:piRNA from 1 species